CCUACGGGUGGCAGCAGUGAGGAAUAUUGGUCAAUGGACGAGAGUCUGAACCAGCCAAGUAGCGUGAAGGAUGACUGCCCUAUGGGUUGUAAACUUCUUUUAUAAAGGAAUAAAACGAGGCACGUGUGCCUUUUUGCAUGUACUUUAUGAAUAAGGAUCGGCUAACUCCGUGCCAGCAGCCGCGGUAAUACGGAGGAUCCGAGCGUUAUCCGGAUUUAUUGGGUUUAAAGGGAGCGUAGAUGGGUUGUUAAGUCAGUUGUGAAAGUUUGCGGCUCAACCGUAAAAUUGCAAUUGAGACUGGCAGUCGUGAGUACAGUUGAGGUAGGCGGAAUUCGUGGUGUAGCGGUGAAAUGCUUAGAUAUCACGAAGAACCCCGAUUGCGAAGGCAGCUUACUAAACUGUGACUGACAUUGAUGCUCGAAAGUGUGGGUAUCAAACAGGAUUAGAUACCCUGGUAGGC
rnacentral:rRNA from 1 species